UUUCUGGUGUAAAUGUGUCCCAUGCAAUCUUUGGGACAUAUUUAUACUAAAA
rnacentral:pre_miRNA from 1 species